ACUCUGCUGAAAUCCGGCUUCUGAGGCAGCCUCGCCCAGGGCUGGGUGGGCUCAGGCGGCUGCUACUCGGUUCAGGGGAGGUUACGCACGGUGGCUGCCGCGCGCAGGGGAGGCUUCGCUUCCGUACUCCUUGGGCCGGGAGAUCCGAUCUUUGUUCCCUCAAGACUCACACUCUCCAACCGGUCAUUAUCCUCCCACAAAGAUUUAUUUCUAGAAAAAAUUGGCAAGUGCCACAGUUCCCGCCCCUUCAGCUGAACGACUGUGACAGCUCCGUGUUUCAAGUUGAAUGCAGGCGUUAUGUGCCAGAGUCAAUCAUUCAACAAAUAAAGUUCUUAAAAUAACAGCUACCAUUUACUGCACGCUGACUACUUGCCAGGCCCAUGCUGAGUUCUUCAAGCGUAUUUUCAUUUACUCCUAAUAGCAACUCUCGGUGGUAGGUACCAUUAUGCCCUCUAGUUUUCAAAUGAGGAAGCUGAAUAACUUGCCAAGGUCAGAAAGUAACUGUUGAAACUUUGAAGGAAACACAUCUGUCUGACUCUAAAUCCCAUGAGCUUAAUUAGCCCCUGUGAUAGACCAUACUGCAGACAUUUGAGGCAGAUUUGAGGUGGUGAAUGCCUCUGGAUCUGGAGACACUGGGUUCCAGUGCUGGCAUAGGCCCUCUACUAGGGGUCAGACUUUGGUCAGGUUACUUUGGACGGGUUACUGGGCCUCUUCCUAACUUUAUGGCUCCCAGCAUGUUUAAAAGAACAUGACAACAUGAAAAAAUAUGGUAUAAAAGUCAUAGUAUAUUUUAAAUAUUGACAUUUAACUAAAAACACUGUCUCACACACACACAAACUCUAACUUUAUUUGGACAUAAUCUUUGACUCUGCAUUUAGUUAUUCUAAAUCUCUUUCUGGAUUAGAGACAGAAGGAACAUAGACCAUACACGCAUUCUAGAGGAAGAGGAGAGAGAAGAGGAAGCAGGAAGGAGAAUGAAGAAAGUUUCCUCAUCAGGUGGGGAAUAUUAAUGGGGCUGUAAUGAGAAACGGAAGCAGUAAUGUAUGUGAAACCACUUUGUAAAAUGCUUCAUUAUAAAGAAUGCACACACGACUUAAGUUACAACCCCUGCCCUAAGGAAUGUCCAGUCUUUUAAGAAGUCUAGAUCCAUGCAUUUGUAACUCCAGUAGGAGAUGGGAAGAUAGUUUAAGAAUAUCCGUCACAUGAAGGGCUGGGCGCGGUGGCUCACACCUGUAAUCCCAGCAUUUUGGGAGGCCGAGGCGGGCAGAUAACGAGGUCAAGAGAUCAAGACCAGCCUGGCCAAUAUGGUGAAACCCCGUCUCUACU
rnacentral:lncRNA from 10 species